AGAAAGGCAGUUGGGAGUCUCUAAUGGUGGUUGCCCCCUCUCUCUUCCUAUGACUUUCUGUUCCAUUUUGUAAACUAAACCACCAUUCAUCUUAAGCAACUGUUUGGUUAAUGUCUGAGUACAUUUACAUACCAAGUACCCGCGCAGCAUGCUGGCUUCCCCCCAAUGCAUGCCCGCCUCCAGCCUUGCAGCAAGCACCUUGAGAUCUGUACCAUUGGGAAUACUAUUCUAUUACCGUGCAAUUUUAUCUGUAGGAAGAAGGGUUUAGGGUUAAAGAUCAUACCCAUUCUUCUCAAAGGAUGAGAGGCUGUGAUGAUUGAGGUUGUCUAGAGUUCUGUCGGGGCAAUGGAGCGGCCCGUAUCUUGGCAUGGCGACCCGACCCGGAAGGCCUAUUUUAUAGUGUAAUCGAGGUUUGCAGCCAUGGCGGUUGCUUUGUCUCCUUUACCCUGAUCAUAUCACGGAUCCGAGCCUCAAAAGAAAAGGUAAAGAAGACCCGCCAGUAAAAAGGGUUUUUCAAAAUUUUCUUAAAAUAAAGAAUGCCACUUAUGUUCAAUCACUUCAACAUUCCUUUAAUGACGUUACAUUUUGUUUCGCUUUACUUUUCAGAAUUCUUCUGUUUAGAGAUUUCCGUAGAGAUGGAGUCAUUAUAGUUUCAAAUAUACAAUACCUUUCUUUUUUCAGUCAUUUUGAUGAUUACAUAAUAAACGAUUUUAUUUUUUUAAAUAAAGGUAUUUGCAUGAAGGAAGUUUUUUAUUAAGUUAAAGUUCCCAUUGAAUUAUUGGACUGAAACAGUGAAUUAUUGGACAUUCGACAUUUUAGGUUAUGGAGGAACUGGAAACUAGAGAUAGAAGAACCAGGGGAUAUUUUCGUUGACGUACUAAUGUUGUUAACAAGAAAAUAUAAUGUUCAUAAAAUUCUAGAAUCUGGGGUAUUCUUUUUUCUUUUGGUUAUGAACAUAUUGAGAUAUGAUCAAUUUUAUACAAGUACAGGAAUAUUAAAAUUGUUGCCACACUUUUUAACCCCUCACCCUUUCAUUUUACGUACAGGUGCUGUACUCUUAUUCUGCUGCAUGUCAUGUUGAUACUGCUGUGGCUAUUCACACUUCACAGUAUGCUGUGUCCUCCUUACUUCUGGUUUCUUGGUCAUUAAUUUUUUCCUUUCAUAAAUCAGAAUCAUUCUGAGCAUCAUUGAUGAUGCUUAUAUGUAGGCUAUGAUGAUAUAACUUUUUGAGUUAAUCGGAUUUUGGGCAAUUGAGCCCGUUUCUUGGCGGGGCAAACCAAGAUGGUUGUAACCAGCGUAAUGAGUAUUGGGACGAAAUAGGUCCUAAUGGAGUUGAUUGGGAUUCAUUUAGCUCACCCAACUAGAUUGUUAUUGGGGUUGUUGCUGUUGUUGUUGUUUUAUGCUAUUCUGGUUUGCAGCCAUGGCGGUGUCCCUUACCCGAUUUUAUGACAGAUCUGAGCCUACUUCUUAUGUCCUCAACCAAGAAUAAGUAAAACGCUCAAGAUUAUGAAUGAGGCAGCAUAGCAACGGGCAGUUUUUAAAUGGUUGCCUCCCAUCUGCAUGCCAAUGAUUUCUCAGUGUCUGGUACUGUCAAAGAAAGAGCCGAUCUUUAAUGCCCUGUUGAUGCUAUCAUGCUCAUCGACAGUCUGGUCUGCUUUAUUGGUCAUAUUCCUUUCCCUUUUAAAAUCUCAAUCGUAAGAGCAAUGUUUGCCACUAAAAUUUUCUCUGAAGUUUGGACUGUUGACAACACAAAAAAUCAGCAUAGAAAAAAGUACAAAUUAAGAACCAGAAGAGAUGAAAAAUAAAUUUAAACAAAUUUAGAUGGAGUGUUGAAUGACUAAAUUGCACUGAUAUCGUGUCUUCUUUUAGUCUCGUACUAUUUGCUAUACCUAUAUGGCCUGAUUGAGAUCUUCUCUCUCGCAUCAACCAAUUUUGUGUAGCCUGAAUCCCAAAUUUGUUGGCAGUGGUAUCCACUCUGCUUUUUUUAGGUAUUUUUUCAUUCAAAUAGUAAAUAAUGUCUUGCAACACAAAAUUAUAUAAUAAGAAAUAAGCUUAUAGAAAAAGUAUUCCAUAUGAUAAGAAAUAAUCUAUUUCAUAAAAGUUAAGUACUAGAUUAGUUAUUUCAAAUGACCUUUGAGAUUAUGCCUUUAUAACCUCACCCUUUCGUCUGCACUUAGCCUAUCUUUUUGUAUUUACAAACAUGAGAUUUUUUAUUCUUUUUUUUAUUUUUAUUUUAGCACGUAAGACAAGAGGGGUUGCUUUGAUGGUAAGCAACCCCCACUUCCAACCGAGAGGUUGUGAGUUCGAGUCUCCCCAAGAGCAAGGUCUCGGUUGUGAGUUCGAGUCUCCCCAAGAGCAAGGUCUCGGUUGUGAGUUCGAGUCUCCCCAAGAGCAAGGUGAGAAGUUCUUGGAGGGAAGGAUGUCGGGGGUCUAUUUGGAAAAAGGCUCUCUACCUCAGGGUAGGGGUAAGGUUUGCGUACAUAUUACCCUCCUCAGAUCCCACUAAGUGGGAUUAUACUGGUUUGUUGUUGUUUAUUUUAGCACGUAAAUAUUUAAUCUAUGUUUAAUACAGUUAUUUCAAUUAAUUUUUGCUCUUUUACGUUAUUUUAUUACAAAUAAAUAAAAAUUAUAAAAAAAUAUUUUAUUUUAUGUACCUUUCAUAAAAUAAAAAAAAU
rnacentral:lncRNA from 1 species